rnacentral:rRNA from 1 species
GACGAAGGAUGCAAGCGUUAUCCGGAUUCAUUGGGAUUAAAGGGUGCGUAGGCGGACUGAUAAGUCAGUGGUGAAAUCUCUUUGCUUAACAAAGAAACUGCCAUUGAUACUGUCGGUCUAGAGUAUAGAUGACGUUGGCGGAAUAUGACAUGUAGUGGUGAAAUACUUAGAUAUGUCAUAGAACACCGAUUGCGAAGGCAGCUAACGAAACUAUAACUGACGCUGAGGCACGAAAGUGCGGGGAUCAAACAGG